rnacentral:rRNA from 1 species
UAGGGAAUCUUCGGCAAUGGACGAAAGUCUGACCGAGCAACGCCGCGUGAGUGAAGAAGGUUUUCGGAUCGUAAAACUCUGUUGUUAGAGAAGAACAAGGACGUUAGUAACUGAACGUCCCCUGACGGUAUCUAACCAGAAAGCCACGGCUAACUACGUGCCAGCAGCCGCGGUAAUACGUAGGUGGCAAGCGUUGUCCGGCUUUAUUGGGCGUAAAGCGAGCGCAGGCGGUUUCUUAAGUCUGAUGUGAAAGCCCCCGGCUCAACCGGGGAGGGUCAUUGGAAACUGGGAGACUUGGGUGCAGAAGAGGAGGGUGGAAUUCCAUGUGUAGCGGUGAAAUGCGUAGAUAUAUGGAGGAAAACCAGUGGCGAAGGCGGCUCUCUGGUCUGUAACUGACGCUGAGGCUCGAAAGCGUGGGGAGCAAACAGG